CAGAAAUCUGUUCUGACAUUAAAAGGAAAUGAGUGAGAACAUUUGUGCAGACCAUAUUUUACAUCCUUCCACGCCUUUCAGGCCUUAUUGAAGAUGAAUGGAUCACCAUUGAUAAAUUUACCAGAUUCACUGAUGUUCCUUUAGCUGCGGGAUUUCAGUGGUACCUUUCUCAAACUCAACUUAGUAAACUAAAACCAGGUGACUGGUCUCAGCAAGACAUAGGUACUAAUUUGGUCGAAGCAGAUAACCAAGCGGAGUGGACCGACGUUCAGAAGAAGAUUAUCCCGUGGAACAGUCGUGUUUCCGACUUAGACCUGGAGCUCCUGUUUCAGGAUCGUGCUGCCAGACUUGGAAAGUCAAUUAGUAGACUCAUCGUUGUGGCCUCGCUCAUCGACAAACCGACCAAUUUAGGAGGUAAAGUUGGAGUUUUCUGGGAGCUUUGCCUGAAAGCUUUUGGUCUUCAACAUUUUUUAAUUAAUCCACUGCCACGGGAGCUUCAAAGGAAUGUAUGCGACAUGAUGAGCUUAGCAUUGUGCUGGGAACAAUCUUAAUGAUCCCAGGUGUUCUGUGCAGGACUGUGCAGGACCUGUGAGGUAUUUGGGGCUUCAGUGCUCGUUGUUGGCAGCCUUCAGUGUAUCAGCGACAAACAGUUUCAGCACCUCAGUGUCUCUGCAGAACAGUGGCUUCCUCUAGUGGAGGUAAAACCACCUCAGCUAAUUGAUUAUCUGCAGCAGAAGAAAACAGAAGGUUAUACCAUCAUUGGAGUGGAACAAACUGCCAAAAGUUUAGACCUAACCCAAUAUUGCUUUCCUGAGAAAUCUCUGCUCUUGUUGGGAAAUGAACGUGAGGGAAUUCCAGCAAAUCUGAUCCAACAGUUGGACGUUUGUGUGGAAAUUCCUCAACAGGGCAUUAUCCGCUCCCUGAAUGUCCAUGUGAGUGGAGCCCUGCUGAUCUGGGAGUACACCAGGCAGCAGCUGCUCUCG
rnacentral:lncRNA from 1 species